GCAAGUCGAACGAGACCCUAGAGCUUGCUCUAGGUGACAGUGGCAGACGGGUGAGUAACGCGUGGCAACCUACCUUUUUCUACGGAACAACAGUUAGAAAUGACUGCUAAUACCGUAUACGCCCUUCGGGGGAAAGAAUUUCGGUGAAAGAUGGGGCCGCGUUAGAUUAGCUAGUUGGUGAGGUAAUGGCUCACCAAGGCGACGAUCUAUAGCUGGUCUGAGAGGAUGAUC
rnacentral:rRNA from 1 species